CUACGUAGGGGGCGAGCGUUGUCCGGAAUGAUUGGGCGUAAAGGGCGCGUAGGCGGCCCGGUAAGUCUGGAGUGAAAGUCCUGUUUUUAAGAUGGGAAUUGCUUUGGAUACUGUCGGGCUUGAGUGCAGGAGAGGUAAGUGGAAUUCCCAGUGUAGCGGUGAAAUGCGUAGAGAUUGGGAGGAACACCAGUGGCGAAGGCGACUUACUGGACUGUAACUGACGCUGAGGCGCGAAAGUGUGGGGAGCAAACAGGAUUAGAUACCCUGGUAGUCCACACUGUAAACGAUGAAUGCUAGGUGUAGGGGGUAUCAACCCCUUCUGUGCCGCAGUCAACACAAUAAGCAUUCCGCCUGGGGAGUACGGCCGCAAGGUUGAAACUCAAAUGAAUUGGCGGGG
rnacentral:rRNA from 1 species